rnacentral:rRNA from 1 species
AACGAACGCUGGCGGCAGGCUUAACACAUGCAAGUCGAACGAACGUAGCAAUACGUUAGUGGCAGACGGGUGAGUAACGCGUGGGAACGUGCCCUUUAGUUCGGAAUAACACAGAGAAAUUUGUGCUAAUACCGGAUAAUCCCGAGAGGGGAAAGAUUUAUCGCUGAAGGAGCGGCCCGCGUCUGAUUAGCUAGUUGGUGAGGUAAUGGCUCACCAAGGCGACGAUCAGUAGCUGGUCUGAGAGGAUGAUCAGCCACACUGGGACUGAGACACGGCCCAGACUCCUACGGGAGGCAGCAGUGGGGAAUAUUGGACAAUGGGGGCAACCCUGAUCCAGCCAUGCCGCGUGAGUGAUGAAGGCCUUAGGGUUGUAAAACUCUUUUGUCCGGGAAGAUACUGACUGUACCGGAAGAAUAAGCCCCGGCUAACUUCGUG